rnacentral:lncRNA from 1 species
UUUGGUAGACCUUAUAAUACACGAAAAUAUGGAAAUGCUCCUGCAAUGUCACAUGUUUGCCUAAAAUGUUUUUAAUGCUUCUCUUUCGAUUAUGGACAAUGGAGAAUGCAGCCAUAUAUGAUGUCAAUACUCUUAUUCAAAUUUGACUUAUUCACAUAAAAACCAUUAAUAUUACAGAGCACAUCGACUAUUAUUACUUUCGAUACAUACCACUAGGUCCACAACUAACUCAA